GAUGAACGCUAGCUACAGGCUUAACACAUGCAAGUCGAGGGGAAACGACAUCGAAAGCUUGCUUUUGGUGGGCGUCGACCGGCGCACGGGUGAGUAACGCGUAUCCAACCUGCCCACCACUUGGGGAUAACCUUGCGAAAGUAAGACUAAUACCCAAUGAUAUCCCACGAAGGCAUCCGAAUGGGAUUAAAGAUUUAUCGGUGAUGGAUGGGGAUGCGUCUGAUUAGCUUGUUGGCGGGGUAACGGCCCACCAAGGCAACGAUCAGUAGGGGUUCUGAGAGGAAAGUCCCCCCACAUUGGAACUGAGACACGGUCCAAACUCCUACGGGAGGCAGCAGUGAGGAAUAUUGGUCAAUGGGCGGAAGCCUGAACCAGCCAAGUAGCGUGCAGGACGACGGCCCUAUGGAUUGUAAACUGCUUUUAUGCGGGGAUAAAGUGGGCCACGUGUGGCCUUUUUGGCAGGUACCGCAUGAAUAAGGACCGGCUAAUUCCGUG
rnacentral:rRNA from 1 species